rnacentral:miRNA from 1 species
CGAAGAGAGAGCGUACAGCCC